rnacentral:rRNA from 1 species
UGGGGAAUAUUGGACAAUGGGCGCAAGCCUGAUCCAGCCAUGCCGCGUGAGUGAUGAAGGCCCUAGGGUUGUAAAGCUCUUUCACCGGUGAAGAUAAUGACGGUAACCGGAGAAGAAGCCCCGGCUAACUUCGUGCCAGCAGCCGCGGUAAUACGAAGGGGGCUAGCGUUGUUCGGAUUUACUGGGCGUAAAGCGCACGUAGGCGGACUUUUAAGUCAGGGGUGAAAUCCCGGGGCUCAACCCCGGGACUGCCUUUGAUACUGGAAGUCUUGAGUAUGGUAGAGGUGAGUGGAAUUCCGAGUGUAGAAGUGAAAUUCGUAGAUAUUCGGAGGAACACCAGUGGCGAAGGCGGCUCACUGGACCAUUACUGACGCUGAGGUGCGAAAGCGUGGGGAGCAAACAGG